CCUACGGGAGGCAGCAGUGGGGGAUAUUGCGCAAUGGGGGAAACCCUGACGCAGCAACGCCGCGUGAAGGACGAAGGUCUUCGGAUUGUAAACUUCUUUUGUUAAGGACGAAGAAAGUGACGGUACUUAACGAAUAAGCUCCGGCUAACUACGUGCCAGCAGCCGCGGUAAU
rnacentral:rRNA from 1 species